UACGGAGGGUCCAAGCGUUAUCCGGAUUCAUUGGGUUUAAAGGGUCCGCAGGCGGGGAAAUAAGUCAGUGGUGAAAUCCUACAGCUUAACUGUAGAACUGCCAUUGAUACUGUUUCUCUUGAGUAUAGAUGAAGUGGGCGGAAUGUGUCAUGUAGCGGUGAAAUGCAUAGAUAUGACACAGAACACCAAUUGCGAAGGCA
rnacentral:rRNA from 1 species